GCCAAUGUAGCUCAGCGGUAGAGCACAGGACUCAUAACCCUGUGGUCGGCGGUUCGACUCCACCCAUUGGCACCA
rnacentral:tRNA from 1 species